GACGAACCGUGCGAACGUGGUUCGGAUUCACUGGGCUUAAAGGGCGCGUAGGCGGACUCGCCAGGCUGUGGUGAAAGCCCCCAGCUUAACUGGGGAAGUGCCGUGGAUACUGCGAGUCUGGAGGAGGGUAGGGGCAUCUGGAACGCUGGGUGGAGCGGUGAAAUGCGUUGAUAUCCAGCGGAACUCCGGUGGCGAAGGCGAGGUGCUGGACCCUUUCUGACGCUGAGGCGCGAAAGCCAGGGGAGCAAACGGG
rnacentral:rRNA from 1 species